GCCCGUCGCCCGUCGCCCGAGGGAGGGCGAGCGAGAGUCGUGCUCGCCGGCGGGGGCGUGUGAGGGCGACUUUGCCUCCGCCUCUGCUCGCUUCCUCUCUCAGGAAUGGUGGGCGCCGUCCCACCCCUCCUUGGCUGAGACGGCGGACAACAAAGGGGCUCGGGGUGGCGGCCAGACAAAGAGGGGGGACUUGGAAGGGACUCAGCGCCGGAGGAAGUUGGGGGACAAAGCUAGGGGGCUGCAGGGCAACGCACCACGAGGACCCCCAAACACAAAGUGCCUUUGUCUCCCAUGCUGCCCACAGUUGGGGAAUCCGGGCGGUCCUGCCUCACCCGCGCCCACCUGGGCCUCACGGGCCGUGCUGGCACGACGCUCGCUCGCACGGCGCAUCCAGCUCAGAGGGACACAGGUCGAACCUGGGCAGCGUCCGCCCGAGGGAAAGCCUGGGUAGCCAGCGGCCAGCGGUAGAGGCCCCGCCUUCUAGAGGAAAGGCCGCUGCUGUCGCUGUUAAGGAAUGCCACCUUAGCUGGGCCUGGUAGCCUGUUUGAGAGACUGAGGCAGAAUUAUGAGACCAGCCUGGGCUACACAGGAAACACAAGACAAAUAUGCUAGCUACAGUGUGGGAGUCCUGGAGCCUCCGGGGCAAAGGACUGCCGUGCUGUCUUCCCGCCGCUGAGAGCGCCUGCCCUCUGCCUCCAGUGUAGCCACUGUAACAAUGACUUCCAUCAUCGUAUCUUCUGUGAAGAGGCUGGCUGCGGGACUGGAGAGAUGUCUCAGUGGUUAAGAGCACUGCCUACUCUUCCGGAAGACCAAGGUUUGAUUCCCAGCACCCACAUGGUGGUUCACAACCAUCAGAUGCCCUUGUCAAGCCCCAUGAGGCACUGUGUGCACUUGGUGCAUAGACAUAUAUGCAGAUGAAACACCCAUACACACACACACAAAUAAA